rnacentral:rRNA from 1 species
AUUGCACGCUGGCGGUAGGCUUAACACAUGCAAGUCGAGCGAGCGGCUGACGGGUGAGUAAUGUCUGUGAAACUGCCUGAUGGAGGGGGAUAACUACUGGAAACGGUAGCUAAUACCGCAUACCAUCAGAUCUGCCCCGAUGGGAUUAGCUAGUAGGUGGGGUAAUGGCUCACCUAGACGACGAUCCCUAGCUGGUCUGAGAGGAUGACCGGGCACACUGGAACUGAGACACGGUCAAGACUCCUACGGUAGGCAGCAGUGGGGAAUAUUGCACAAUGGGCGCAAGCCUGAUGCAGCCCUGCCGCGUGUGUUAAGAAGUCCUUCGGGUUGUAAAGCACUUUCAGCGAGGAGGCGUUACUCGCAGAAGAAGCACCGGCUAACUCCGUGCCAGCAGCCGCGGUAAUAC